UAGCCGACAAAGAAGAAGAAGAAACGUCACUUCCGGUAUCAGCGAGAUUUGAGAACGCGGCGCCAAAAAAACAGCUUCAAACUUUUGAUUUAAACGGACAGAAAAGACAUUUGUGAUGUGUACAACUGUGGACACUGGAGAGAUCAUCAUCCUCAGUGAUGAUGAAGACGAUGUGUCAUGCAGUGAGCCCUCUGUUCUUCUCGUGGAGGAGGUGGAGGACGUUAAGAAGAGCGAUUGUAUUUUACCUCCCACUAAUCUGGAUGAAGACCUGGUUGUCACCUUCUCCCGCCGUGCUGAGGUGCUGCCUCACGCACGCUAUGAUUGUCCCAUACAUCCUUUCAAGGCUACAGAUUGUGAGGUUGGCGCUCCUGUGGCCACUAACCAGCUCAUGUGCGAUCAGUGCUUCUGCUACAUCUGCGACAAAUUGGCCUCAUCGUGUACAUUGUGGUGUCACAGCGGCUCGUGUCACUGCAACAGCCACAAGAGGAGCGACUUCUGGAACCAGUUCAGAAACAGCUCGCUGCUGGGAGGACUGAAGUUUUUCAACCUCACUCUGUCUGAAAUAGACUCUCACCUCCGACGUGCAGAGACGAUGCUGCAGAACUACAGACAAGAAAUCUCUGCACAUUUCUCUUCCUUCUUGAAGAGACAGACGGCACAGAUACCUGGUGUGAAUCUACCGAACCAAGAAAUCAUCUGCGACUACACUCCUGUGUACGAGUUUGUGUCAUCGUUUCUGAACAAAGCAGAUAAAGAGGACGCCAGAGCUGCUGCCAUCAUGAGACUGGGAGCCGCUCAGUGCUUUAUUCACCAUUAUCAAUCAUCAGGGACCAUCAGCUUACAGUCUCCCAUGGCUAAUUAUGCUGAAGCCAAACUAGUGUUACUGCAGAGGGUCGUUGCAUCUGUGCAGAGACAGAUGGUGAUGGAUGAUUUUACCUCAGAGUUCAUUUACAAACUGCAGGAUUUCUACAAAAGGCUGUAUUUUUCCGCUGAACUUAAAAGCUUUAGGAACAGCCUGUGUAUUCGUCCUUGGGAUGAUGUCCUGCUGGUGUCUGUGCUGAAGGGGCAGAACGUAUCGGGCGUCCGCAAAGACAAGGGCAAGAAGGACGUCCUGAUUGAACAGAUUUCUGUGGUCUUAUUGAGAACAGAACUACUACAGCAACAGCACAGGUACAGAGAGCUGUGUCGCUACCUACGAGUCGUCCAGACUGAUGAUUUAAAACUCUUCCAGCAGUUACAAGACCUCAUCCCAUUCUUCAUGUGCAUGGAGGGGGACCUUAUGUCGGCCACGGUCAGUUUGUUGUCAUUAGGGAACGCCCCUGCCUCCCGCUUUACUCCUCAGCUCUACCGCGUUUAUCUCCGCGUCUUUAACACAGCAGCAGCACCGAAGCUGGUGGUCAGUAAGCCGGCACAGCUGUGCUGUUCCGAUGCAGCGUGGGAGCCAGUUAAAGGUACUGUGCCACUGCCGCCUGUUGUGCUGGUGAGGUUUGCUCUCAGGGUUCAUAGAUGCUGCCCUGUCGUCCUCUCUGAUUCUCAGUGUUGGACCAGUUUACUCAGGCUUGUCAACACACGCACAGCUCUCCCGGAGCCGAGCCAUCAGUAUCUACACGACGUGAAGGAUGUGGUGAAUUCGAUACUGCUCGACCAGCAUGGGUCAAACCUACUGAUCCCACGAUUCUUUCAGGAGGUGUACCCAGAUCAGGCCUUGUUGCUGUUGGUAACGGGGGCUUUAGGUUUGAGAAUCCUUCACGGUCCUCUGUGUCCAGUUCUCCCAGUGCUCAGUACCUUUAAGGAGAACACAUGGGCUCUCAUGUGGCUGUGGUCCUAUUUGUCCUUCAACCCAGAACGCCUCACAUCCUUCUCGCAGGAGAUCUACCAGGAGACUGAAAACACAACAGAUGGGGAUAAAUUGCCACUCUUACGUCGCAUCAUGGUACCAUGUGCUCUGUCUCCUUCAACAGAGACCUGUGACCAGCAGUCCAGUGCCUCUUAAACGCUACUCAUCACAGUGUCAGCUGACGGAUCCUCUCUCCCAGUACUAGCACCAUUUGUACACAAAGCAACCAAACUUGGUUGUUACUGGGUCUGAUCAACGUUGAUGUUCCUGUAAAACUCUGCAGCAUUUUUCAGCAUGCUAUCCUGAGUCAAGUUCAGCGGGAGUUAAAGACGAAUGAGUAUUUUUAUACAGAUGUCAAAGUACCUAGGCAGACCGGCCAGCUGUCAGCAGACUAAAAAAGGAAAUAUCCUCAUU